GUGCCAGCCGCGGCGGUAAUACGGAGGGUGCAAGCGUUAAUCGGAAUUACUGGGCGUAAAGCGCACGCAGGCGGUUGAUUAAGUCAGAUGUGAAAUCCCCGGGCUCAACCCGGGAACUGCAUCUGAUACUGGUCAGCUGGAGUCUCGUAGAGGGAGGUAGAAUUCCAGGUGUAGCGGUGAAAUGCGUAGAGAUCUGGAGGAAUACCGGUGGCGAAGGCGGCCCCCUGGACGAAGACUGACGCUCAGGUGCGAAAGCGUGGGGAGCAAACAGGAUUAGAUACCCUGGUGGUCCACGCCGUAAACGAUGUCUAUUUGGAGUUGUGCCCUUGAGGCGUGGCUUCCGGAGCUAACGCGUUAAAUAGACCGCCUGGGGAGUACGGCCGCAAGGUUAAACUCAAAUGAAUUGACGGGGCCCGCACAAGCGGUGGAGCAUGUGGUUAAUUCGAUGCAACGCGAAGAACCUACCUGGUCUUGACAUCCACAGAAGUUUCAGAGAUGAGAACGUGCCUUCGGGAACUGUGAGACAGGU
rnacentral:rRNA from 1 species